rnacentral:rRNA from 1 species
UACGUAGGGUGCGAGCGUUGUCCGGAAUUAUUGGGCGUAAAGAGCUCGUAGGCGGUGUGUCGCGUCGGCCGUGAAAACCUGCAGCUUAACUGUGGGCUUGCGGUCGAUACGGGCAUCACUGGAGUUCGGCAGGGGAGACUGGAAUUCCUGGUGUAGCGGUGAAAUGCGCAGAUAUCAGGAGGAACACCAGUGGCGAAGGCGGUGCUCUGGGCCGGAACUGACGCUGAGGAGCGAAAGCGUGGGGAGCAAACAGG